AGCGAACGCUGGCGGCAUGCUUAACACAUGCAAGUCGCACGGGGAGCGAUGUGAUUGCUGCACGGGAUAAGAACGCGUAGGGACGUUUACUGGGGUGGAGGCCACCCCCGGGAAAGGGAUAACUAUAGGGCACAUUAGCUAAUACCCAAAGCCGAGGGGAGCGUCUGGAGCGGCGUGCGGACGGUUAGGUAGUUGGUGUGGUAAAGGCCUACCAAGCCUGUGAUCGGUAGCUGGUGUGAGAGGACGACCAGCCACACUGGGGCUGAGGCACGGCCCAGACUCCUAGGGGAGGCAGCAGUGGGGAAUAUUGGACAAUGGGCGAAAGCCUAAUCCAGCAAUGCCGGGUGGGUGAGGAAGGUCUUCGGAUCGUAAAGCCCUUUGGAAGGAGACGAUGGUGACGGUACCUGUAGAAGAAGCCCCGGCUAACUACGUG
rnacentral:rRNA from 1 species